rnacentral:lncRNA from 1 species
UGGUUGGUUGAACCUGGUUUUGUGGCAUGCCAAACCUCCCGCUUUAAUGGCAGUGUUAAUUAUAACAUUAAAAUGACAACAUUACACGACAGGGCUACAAUAAAUAAACAGAUAAAUGGAAGAAAAUAUAGGACAGAGAAACAAACGAAUAAUAGCCAUCCACAGGUAACAGGUUAAAAAAUAUUUUUAUACGCCAGACGCGCGCUACGUCCACACAAAACUAUGCUCAGAUGUGAAAAG